rnacentral:rRNA from 1 species
UACGUAGGGGGCAAGCGUUAUCCGGAAUUAUUGGGCGUAAAGAGUGCGUAGGUGGUUUUAUAAGCGCGGGGUGAAAGGCUAUGGCUCAACCAUAGUAAGCCCCGCGAACUGUAAGACUUGAGUGCAGGAGAGGAAAGUGGAAUUCCUAGUGUAGCGGUGAAAUGCGUAGAUAUUAGGAGGAACACCAGUGGCGAAGGCGACUUUCUGGACUGUAACUGACACUGAGGCACGAAAGCGUGGGGAGCAAACAGG